GCGGAGGAAAAGAAAAUAACAAUGAUUUCCCUAGUAACGGCGAGUGAAGAGGAAAGAGCUCAAAGUUGGAACCUGUUUGGCUUAGCUAAACCGGAUUGUAAACUGUAGAAGUGUUUUCCAGACACGCCUGGUAAAAAAGUCCUUUGGAACAGGGCAUCAUAGAGGGUGAGAAUCCCGUCUUUGGCCAGAGCUGUUGUCUUUUGUGAUACAUUUUCAAAGAGUCAGGUUGUUUGGGAAUGCAGCCUAAAUUGGGUGGUAAAUCUCACCUAAAGCUAAAUAUUUGCGAGAGACCGAUAGCGAACAAGUACCGUGAGGGAAAGAUGAAAAGAACUUUGAAAAGAGAGUUAAACAGUAUGUGAAAUUGUUAAAAGGGAACCGUUUGGAGCCAGACUGGCUUAACUGUAAUCAAUCUAGGCUUCGGCCUGGAUGCACUUGCGGUUUAUGCCGGCCAACGACAGUUUUACUUGGGGGAAAAAAUUACUUUGAAUGUGGCCCUUCGGGGUGUUAUAGCUUAGUAAAAAAUACCCUGGGUUGGACUGAGGAACGCAGUGAAUGCCUUUAGGCAAGAUUGCUGAGCGCUUUCGCUGAUAAAUGCUAGAAUUUCUGCUUCGGGUGGUGCUAGUGUUUAAAGGAGAAACCCGUUUGGUAUAUUUUUUAUUCGCUUAGGUUGUUGGCUUAAUGACUCUAAAUGAC
rnacentral:rRNA from 1 species